rnacentral:rRNA from 1 species
GAGUUUGAUCUUGGCUCAGGACGAACGCUGGCGGCGUGCCUAAUACAUGCAAGUCGAGCGAGGGUUUUCGGACCCUAGCGGCGGACGGGUGAGUAGCACGUAGGCAACCUGCCUCUCAGACCGGGAUAACAUAGGGAAACUUAUGCUAAUACCGGAUAGGUUUUUGGAUUGCAUGAUCCGAAAAGAAAAGAUGGCUUUUGGCUAUCACUGGGAGAUGGGCCUGCGGCGCAUUAGCUAGUUGUGGGUAACGGCCUACCAAGGCGACGAUGCGUAGCCGACCUGAGAGGGUGACCGGCCACACUGGGACUGAGACACGGCCCAGACUCCUACGGGAGGCAGCAGUAGGG